CUACGGGCCGCACCAGUGAGGAAUAUUGCACAAUGGGGGGAACCCUGAUGCAGCAACGCCGCGUGGAGGAUGACACAUUUCGGUGUGUAAACUCCUUUUAUAUGUCAAGAAAAUGACGGUAGCAUAUGAAUAAGCACCGGCUAACUUCGUGCCAGCAGCCGCGGUAAUACGGAGGGUGCAAGCGUUACUCGGAAUCACUUGGCGUAAAGGACGCGUAGGCGGGUUGGAAAGUCAGGUGUGAAAUCCUACAGCUUAACUGUAGAACUGCACUUGAAACUUCUAAUCUAGAGUAUAGGAGGGGGAGAUGGAAUUAGUGGUGUAGGGGUAAAAUCCGUAGAUAUCACUAGGAAUACCUAAAGCGAAGGCGAUCUCCUGGAACAUUACUGACGCUAAGGCGUGAAAGCGUGGGGAGCAAACAGGAUUAGAUACCCCAGUAGUC
rnacentral:rRNA from 1 species